GACGAACGCUGGCGGCGUGCUUAACACAUGCAAGUGGAGCGACGAACCAGGCUUCGGCCUGGGGCAGAGCCGCGAACGGGUGAGUAACACGUGGGUAACCUGCCCCGAUGACUGGGACAACCCGAGGAAACUCGGGCUAAUACCGGAUGUGCUGCUCUCGCUCAAGUGAGAGUAGGAAAGGAAGCUUCGGCCUCCGCAUCGGGAUGGGCCCGCGGCCCAUUAGCUUGNGGUGAGGUAACGGCUCACCAAGGCUUCGAUGGGUAGCUGGUCUGAGAGGACGAUCAGCCACACUGGGACUGAGACACGGCCCAGACUCCUACGGGAGGCAGCAGUGGGGAAU
rnacentral:rRNA from 1 species